GCCGAUGUAGCUCAGUUGGCAGAGCGGCGCUUUCGUAAAGCGUAGGUCAGCGGUUCGAUCCCGCUCAUCGGCUCCA
rnacentral:tRNA from 1 species